AUAGGAUGCAAUUCUAUCGCCUUUUCGCUUGACGAAAGGGAGGAAAGUCCGGACAGCACAGGGCACUGCACUUCUGAAAGAGGAGAUAUCCGUGAGGGUAUGGUCGCGAAGAAGAAAAUAACCGGCUCGACUUGUCGGGUCAAGGGUGAGAAGGUGAGGUAAAAGCUCACCAGUACUAAUGGCAACAUUGGUAGCUGUUCGUCCUGCAGGCUGCAAGACCAUGUAUACCGGCGUUUUAAGGCUGCACGCCUGAGCCGGGGGGUAGGUCGCAUUAGAUAAAUGAUAGAAAUCUCACUUAGGUGAGGAUACAGAAUCUGGCUUAUUGCCUUCUAUUUUU
rnacentral:RNase_P_RNA from 1 species